rnacentral:rRNA from 1 species
UACGAAGGGGGCUAGCGUUGUUCGGAUUUACUGGGCGUAAAGCGCACGUAGGCGGAUCGUUAAGUCGGGGGUGAAAUCCUGGAGCUCAACUCCAGAACUGCUUUCGAUACUGGCGAUCUUGAGUCCGGAAGAGGUGAGUGGAACUCCUAGUGUAGAGGUGGAAUUCGUAGAUAUUAGGAAGAACACCAGUGGCGAAGGCGGCUCACUGGUCCGGUACUGACGCUGAGGUGCGAAAGCGUGGGGAGCAAACAGG